CAGGCCCUGAAUCAAGACUGGUGGUUUGUUGUAGCUGUUGGUUUCAAGUAGGAGCCAAGAGUGGUGUCUUCCAGUAUUGCAGUGGGAAUGGCCAGUUCAGUUGGAAGAAACAUAG